UCCUUUGAUGACCAUAACUUUAAUAAGCUACAGCAAACUCAUAAUUAAAGGCUGCACGCUAAAAUUCUUGUUUAUAUUAAUCUCUUUAGUUAGUUUGAUAUUCGAAUAUAUAUAUUCAUAUGCCCCUCCCCCUCUUAGGGCUCUUCUGGACUUAAAGACCUCCGGGUGUGCGGCUGUUUGCAUAUUUCAUCCAUGAAACUACGUCAGUUGCUGGACUUGAAUAAAUUGGUCGCCAUCUUUGAACUAUAGUGUUUGAAUGUUAAACGUAAAACUUUGGAUCUUCGAGUUAAAGUACUGUACUGGAAAACUGUUAAGUAAUAAGCGCACAGGAAUAGUGAAAUUGAGAAGAUUUUCCUGUUUUUAAAUUUUGGACAGUUGAGAAGCAUCUUUUAGUAGACUCAUUACUGUGAAGUUGUAUCUUAGUGUAUACUGACUUUAGGUCUUUGUGCCUUGAUUGAACUGUUUACAAAUCAUCAUGGCAUCUGUUAAGGCAGAAACUCUGAAUUCUGCUAAUCACAAUUCCACAAGUCUUGCUAACAACAGUGUGGAUAACACUUUGAGUCAGAAUG